GAUGAACGCUAGCUACAGGCUUAACACACGCAAGUCGAGGGGAAACGACAUCGAAAGCUUGCUUUCGAUGGGCAUCGACCGGCGCACGGGUGAGUAACGCGUAUCCAACCUGCCCACCACUUGGGGAUAACCUUGCGAAAGUAAGACUAAUACCCAAUGAUAUCCCUAGAAGACAUCUGAAAGAGAUUAAAGAUUUAUCGGUGAUGGAUGGGGAUGCGUCUGAUUAGCUUGUUGGCGGGGUAACGGCCCACCAAUGCGACGAUCAGUAGGGGUUCUGAGAGGAAGGUCCCCCACAUUGGAACUGAGACACGGUCCAAACUCCUACGGGAGGCAGCAGUGAGGAAUAUUGGUCAAUGGGCGAGAGCCUGAACCAGCCAAGUAGCGUGCAGGAUGACGGCCCUAUGGGUUGUAAACUGCUUUUAUAAGGGAAUAAAGUGAGUCUCGUGAGGCUUUUUGCAUGUACCUUAUGAAUAAGGACCGGCUAAUUCCGUGCCAGCAGCCGCCGUAA
rnacentral:rRNA from 1 species